rnacentral:lncRNA from 1 species
AGGAGAGUGGGGCCUUGGUUGCCUUACUCUUUGUGCUGGCGACCCCUGUGCACUGAGCCUACUGAAUGCCAGCAGCUCUCAUUCAGCUUGUCUGGUCCUGAGUAGGAUGGAUGCAGGGCGUGCUAGAGGGGCGUGGCGGAGGCGACGAGUGGGGCGGAGCAACUGUGGAAGAGGGAAGCUAGUACCGCUUUUGAGCGAGGGAUGCGAUGCAGCGUGGUGCUGCUCGGAGGUGUGCUGCUCAGAGGCCGCCUGAUUGCCUACCUUCCCUGGUAUUCCUUCCGACUGCGGCAAGGGCACUGAGUGGUGGCAACGCCGGCAAGGCUCAGGUAUGGUGUCUAGAGGCAGCGCAGAAGGUGAGCGACACCCUGGCUGGCGGGUCGCGGACUAGAGCUGAACCUGGAGGCUUCGGUCCGACUCGCUGCUCUUGCAACUCAGGCUGCUGAAUUAUGGAACCCUUGACCUCCGGUUCCCCCUCCACUGCGGCGUGUCCGCCUUGGCUCUGCCACCUGCACUCCGUCCUUUGCCGAUCUGUGCGACCACAGCCUUCCCUCUGCCUCCCUCCUUCGCAGGAUUAGCGCCCUCACUGGUAUCCUUAUUUUGUUUGCUGUUCCCCA